rnacentral:rRNA from 1 species
CCUACGGGAGGCAGCAGUGAGGAAUAUUGGUCAAUGGACGCGAGCCUGAACCAGCCAAGUAGCGUGAAGGAUGACUGCCCUACGGGUUGUAAACUUCUUUUAUAAAGGAAUAAAGUGAGGCACGUGUGCCUUUUUGUAUGUACUUUAUGAAUAAGGAUCGGCUAACUCCGUGCCAGCAGCCGCGGUAAUACGGAGGAUCCGAGCGUUAUCCGGAUUUAUUGGGUUUAAAGGGAGCGUAGAUGGAUUGUUAAGUCAGUUGUGAAAGUUUGCGGCUCAACCGUAAAAUUGCAAUUGAUACUGGCGAUCUUGAGUACAGUUGAGGUAGACGGAAUU